GAUGAACGCUGGCGGCGUGCCUAAUACAUGCGAGUCGAGCGAACAGACGAGGAUCUUGCUCCUCUGACGUGAGCGGCGGACGGGUGAGUAACACGUGGAUAACCUACCUAUAAGACUGGGCUAACUUCGGGAAACCGGAGCUCAUACCGGAUAAUAUAUUUAACCGCAUGGUUCAAUAGUGAAAGACGGUUUUGCUGUCACUUAUAGAUGGAUCCGCGCCGCAUUAGCUAGUUGGUAAGGUAACGGCUUACCAAGGCAACGAUGCGUAGCCGACCUGAGAGGGGGAUCGGCGACACUGGAAGUGAGACACGGUCCAGACUCCGACGGGAGGCAGAAGUAGGGAAUCGUCGGAGAUGGGCGAAAGCCUGAAGGAGCAACGCAGGGUGAGUGCUGAAGGUCUUCGGAUCGUAAAACUCUGUUAUUAGGGAAGAACAAAUGUGUAAGUAACGAUGCACGUCGUGACGGUACCUAAUCAGAAAGCAACGGCUAACUACGUG
rnacentral:rRNA from 1 species